CCUACCGGGCAUACCGGCAGCAACAUUGUAGGUUCGCGCUUGUGGAAGCGAACGAACGUCAGCAAACCGUCAGCGUCAGGUGGCGGUGGAAUUGCAUUAAUCGAUUUCUCGGCAGCGCGGAGACGAUAGGUCUGGCCCAAGUCGCUGGGCAUCAUCAUCGUCAUCAUCGCUGGGUGGAAAACGUUUUGCAAAAAAGUGCGCACCGAGAGAGAAUGUUGUCGAACGUGUCUAUGUCGUGAUUGAUUGAAUUUUAAUUCGUUGGAGAUGUUGAAGUAGCCAUACCGCCAUACCUAAUUGGUUCUUGGCUCGCCAUUAUCAAUCCCAGACGAUCGCUUCAGUUUAGUGUUUUUUCUCUCUUUUUCAAGCUUCUUAUUUCUUGCCCGGUCGGUUUGAAAUUGAUAUGUUCAUGUCUGCGCGCGGUAGUGAAAGGUCGCAGAAUGCUUACCCCUGGAUAGAAUAACUGAAAUGAAAACUACACACGCCGCGUCCGCGGAUGCGCCAGGCGAGGAAAGCUCGAGCUCGCCGGUUUCGUUGCGGCCGUUCGCUGCGUUGAUGCACUUCCGGGAUCUUCUGGGGCUGGAACUGAUGGUUCGGGAUGGCUUCGGCGGUACAGGACACUCCAAAUACGAUGACAAACAGUUUCACGUGGCACGGCCGUAUAUAAUGUGGACCGGCGUCACUGGUUAGCCAGAGUGUCGAGUUGGCUAAAUUGCUCGCACUCACUGUCUCGCGAACACACACGGUAGCGUUUCCAAUGCCUUUGACGAGCCGUCUCCCUUACGAUGCGACGACAAGGAACACGAUAACUACUCCGACAACACAAACACAACUUAAUACUAUUGGUUGCGGUUGGUGUCACGACUAAUAAAUAAACAUUUGAGGUAGCAUGCUAUACCUGGACAAUUAAACCUAGCACUUGCUUUCCGCAUAUAAAUGAAUAAAUAAACAA